rnacentral:rRNA from 1 species
GAGACUUUGGGGAGGCCUAACGGUCUCACCCAAUGGCUUGGGGUUCUGCCGGCUGUGAGGGGUGGCGGUUAACUCACUUUAAGCAAUCAAUUCUGAAGACAGAUCUAUUGGCUAGCAUUGCUGGCUAUAGACUGAACAAAUACAGACAACUCUCAACAACGGAUAUCUUGGCUCCCGUAACGAUGAAGAACGCAGCGAAAUGCGAUACGUAGUGUGAAUUGCAGAAUUCCGUGAACCAUCGAAUCUUUGAACGCAAAUUGCGCUCGAGGCUUCGGCCAAGAGCAUGUCUGCCUCAGCGUCGGCUACUACCCUCAACUAAGUUUCCUAUGAAAGACUAGGGGAUGCCAGUUGGAUAUGGCCGUCCGGUUUGCCUUUCAGGCUGCCGGUCAGCUGAAAUACAUUCACGCUCUGGGGGCUGCUUUCCUUGAAAGGCUUCUUUCAAGGGGAGGCGAGUUCCGAUUUGGUAGGUGACCUUUGCCGGUUACAUGCCUUCGUUGCUCGCUAAGCUUCCCAGUGUCGUUGUGCAGGACGCCUUUUGGCUUUCGACCUGAGGUCAGGCAAGAACACCCGCUGAACUUAAGCAUAUCAAUAAGCGGAGGAAAAGAA